rnacentral:rRNA from 1 species
GAUGAACGCUGGCGGCGUGCCUAAUACAUGCAAGUCGAGCGAACGGACGAGAAGCUUGCUUCUCUGAUGUUAGCGGCGGACGGGUGAGUAACACGUGGAUAACCUACCUAUAAGACUGGGAUAACUUCGGGAAACCGGGGCUAAUACCGGAUAAUAUUUUGAACCGCAUGGUUCAAAAGUGGAAGACGGUCUUGCUGUCACUUAUAGAUGGAUCCGCGCUGCAUUAGCUAGUUGGUAAGGUAACGGCUUACCAAGGCAACGAUGCAUAGCCGACCUGAGAGGGUGAUCGGCCACACUGGAACUGAGACACGGUCCAGACUCCUACGGGAGGCAGCAGUAGGGAAUCUUCCGCAAUGGGCGAAAGCCUGACGGAGCAACGCCGCGUGAGUGAUGAAGGUCUUCGGAUCGUAAAACUCUGUUAUUAGGGAAGAACAUAUGUGUAAGUAACUGUGCACAUCUUGACGGUACCUAAUCAGAAAGCCACGGCUAACUACGUG